AGCAGCCGCGGUAAUUCCAGCUCCAAUAGCGUAUAUUAAAGUUGUUGCAGUUAAAAAGCUCGUAGUUGAAUUUCGGGAUCAAUACGUCUGUCGUGCCUUUGGUACGUACGGGUGUAAUUGGUUUCUACCUUCUGAGGAUCCUUGAUGUCAUUAAUUUGGUGUCUUGGGGAAUCAGGACUGUCACCUUAAAAAAAUUAGAGUGUUUAAAGCAGGCAUACGCUUGAAUACAUUAGCAUGGAAUAAUGAAAUAGGACGUUCGAUUCUAUUUUGUUGGUUUCUAGGAUCGACGUAAUGAUUAAUAGGGAUAGUUGGGGGCAUUAGUAUUCAAUUGUCAGAGGUGAAAUUCUUGGAUUUAUUGAAGACUAACUACUGCGAAAGCAUUUGCCAAGGAUGUUUUCAUUAAUCAAGAACGAAAGUUAGGGGAUCGAAGACGAUCAGAUACCGUCGUAGUCUUAACCAUAAACCAUGCCGACUAGGGAUCGGAUGAUGUUAAUUUUUAAUGACUCAUUCGGCGCCUUAA
rnacentral:rRNA from 1 species